rnacentral:rRNA from 1 species
GACGAACGCUGGCGGCGUGCUUAACACAUGCAAGUCGAACGGAAAGGCCCUGCUUUUGUGGGGUGCUCGAGUGGCGAACGGGUGAGUAACACGUGAGUAACCUGCCCUUGACUUUGGGAUAACUUCAGGAAACUGGGGCUAAUACCGGAUAGGAGCUCCUGCUGCAUGGUGGGGGUUGGAAAGUUUCGGCGGUUGGGGAUGGACUCGCGGCUUAUCAGCUUGUUGGUGGGGUAGUGGCUUACCAAGGCUUUGACGGGUAGCCGGCCUGAGAGGGUGACCGGCCACAUUGGGACUGAGAUACGGCCCAGACUCCUACGGGAGGCAGCAGUGGGGAAUAUUGCACAAUGGGCGGAAGCCUGAUGCAGCAACGCCGCGUGCGGGAUGACGGCCUUCGGGUUGUAAACCGCUUUCGCCUGUGACGAAGCGUGAGUGACGGUAAUGGGUAAAGAAGCACCGGCUAACUACGUGCCAGCAGCCGCGGUGAUACGUAGGGUGCGAGCGUUGUCCAGAUUUAUUGGGCGUAAAGGGCUCAUAGGUGGUUGAUCGCGUCGGAAGUGUAAUCUUGGGGCUUAACCCUGAGCGUGCUUUCGAUACGGGUUGACUUGAGGAAGGUAGGGGAGAAUGGAAUUCCUGGUGGAGCGGUGGAAUGCGCAGAUAUCAGGAGGAACACCAGUGGCGAAGGCGGUUCUCUGGGCCUUUCCUGACGCUGAGGAGCGAAAGCGUGGGGAGCGAACAGGCUUAGAUACCCUGGUAGUCCACGCUGUAAACGGUGGGUACUAGGUGUGGGGUCCAUUCCACGGGUUCCGUGCCGUAGCUAACGCUUUAAGUACCCCGCCUGGGGAGUACGGCCGCAAGGCUAAAACUCAAAGGAAUUGACGGGGCCCCGCACAAGCGGCGGAGCAUGCGGAUUAAUUCGAUGCAACGCGUAGAACCUUACCUGGGUUUGACAUGGAUCGGGAGUGCUCAGAGAUGGGUGUGCCUCUUUUGGGGUCGGUUCACAGGUGGUGCAUGGCUGUCGUCAGCUCGUGUCGUGAGAUGUUGGGUUAAGUCCCGCAACGAGCGCAACCCUUGUUCACUGUUGCCAGCACGUUAUGGUGGGGACUCAGUGGAGACCGCCGGGGUCAACUCGGAGGAAGGUGGGGAUGACGUCAAGUCAUCAUGCCCCUUAUGUCCAGGGCUUCACGCAUGCUACAAUGGCUGGUACAGAGAGUGGCGAGCCUGUGAGGGUGAGCGAAUCUCGGAAAACCGGUCUCAGUUCGGAUUGGGGUCUGCAACUCGACCUCAUGAAGUCGGAGUCGCUAGUAAUCGCAGAUCAGCAACGCUGCGGCGAAUACGUUCCCGGGGGCU